CUUCCUCACUGUUCAAUUUUGGUAUUCAAUGCUACAGCAUCUUUUCAGCCUUACACAAGUUUAGCAAUUUCUUUGUGAUUAUGGAUCAUUAAAAGCAGUGUUCAUUCAUAAAAAAUAAGCACUUAACAUUUUGCAAUCUCUAAAUAUACUUCAGUGAAAUAUACAGCAUCCUUUUUGGCCCCCAAAGACUAUAAAAGCAUCUUCACUCACAGAUAUUUAAAAGAAGGGCUAAAAAUAUUCAAGAAAAUUACAGUGCUUUAAGUGUUAAAAAGUAAAACACAUUUCAGCAUGCAAACGAACAAGAGUUUCACUCCAAAAUGCUUCGCUCCUGUGUCAAGGGACAUAAACACAUGGUGUGAACAAGUGGCAAUGUUUAGGGAAAUACUGCAAAACUAAAUCUUUUCCAUGUAGGCCAAAAUGACUUAUCAGCCAAGCUACUGGAUCAGGCAACUAUUUUUCUAUAUCAUAUUUUUAUGAAUGUGAGGAACUUAUAAACUCAAGGGCAGAACAAAUGCAGACACUAGCACUUAACCUAGGCAAACAGAAACAUGGAAGGAAGCAUCAUGGGAGGUGAAUAGGUUAGGCUUUCUUUCUUCUGUCAUCCCCUUACCAUUUGGAUGUUUCCAUCCUCCAUUCUGAGAAAUUAUGUGUUCCCCUGCAAUGAAGAGAGGUUUCGUCUCCUUUCAGCUAUCACAUUCACCUCGUUCAGAAGGUUUGCUUUGCCCAAAUCCUUUGACAGGGAGUGAGUGAAAUCUCAGCCCCAUUGAAGUCAGUGGGAAAUUUGCCAUUCACUAUAAGGGAGCCAGGAUUUUGCACAACGUUUAUAUCAGUAGAAGACCAGACUGAAUCUAGUGCAGUGUUUGUGAAGUGCUUUGAAGUAGAGAGUGUUACAGCACUGAAAUUAUUGCUAUUAUUAUUAUUGCUGCUUAGUGCACGACAGAGAAGAAAGGAAGAAAACCUCUGAAUGAACUGGAAGGAAAUACUGAUUCUGCAGAUCUUAGAGGGAUUUACCGAAAAACUCUACAGAGAGCUUAAAAUGUUUUCAGAAACACUGCAAAGCCCAAGCGGGAAGGAAGAAACAAUGGUUUCCUUUCAGCUUGCCUAUUAUUCCUCGGAACUGCAGUACAGCCUUUGCACUUCGUUGGCCCAUGGAAGAGCCUGGGAUUCGGUGAAUGCUGUGAUGAUAAGCUGUUUCACUACUUGUGGCUGUCGUGUAUAUAUUACCACCAGACAAGACAACAGUUGAUCAUCAAGGAAAAAAAUCCUCUCCCAUGAUCUCACUAACUAGCUUAUUCUGCCACAGGCUCAUUGAAAAUUCUUUUCAAGUUACAUCCACAGUGCUGCAAUCAGGAAAUGUGCUUGCUGCUACCAAAGGAACCAGUGUUUGGGCCUCGGCUCUCCUCAUCUGCCAGGCUGCAGCAAGGUCUCAGCCAGGUAUCCUCAGAUCACAGCCCUCACCACUACCCCAAAUGGCUUGCUCAUUAGAAAGGAAUGCGAUAUGUAGGACUGAGGCACCCAGGGACAGCUCGUCAAACAGUGCAAACUGUCAGUGCUCCGCUAACCUCAGGCAACCCAAGGUUUCAGGCUGCAGAGGAUUUAUCUACAACUCAGCAGCUGUGAGAAGAGAGCAGCAUUAGGUCACGGAGGGAACGGGCCAGCAACCGUGAUUCAGCCAUUGGCACACUCAGCUCAGCUGAGAAUUCCCAACCACAAUCUACAAAAGGGACUUGUUACAUCUUGAUUAAUUUCAAAUUAUUCUGUCUUCUUUCAGUCUCUACCUUUUUUGGUUAUCUCAGUGCACAGCAGUGGUCCCAGUGGUUGAGAUCUGUACAGCCGAGUUCUUGACUCUGAUCUUAAUCAUGUGGCCAGUGAUGGAAACAGUGACAAAUUACUGCCAUCAGUCAACUACCAAGACAGGAUAAACUUGUGUAGUCUCUUGAAUUUACUCCGUGGCACUACAGUCCAAAUAAAGGCAGUGACAUAAAAUAUGCUGUUAAAUACUUCGCUAUUUAGUAGGUAUAACUGCAGCUAGAAAAAAUAUAAAAUGUCAUAAGCUAAGAAUUUGCAGAAAACAGUUUCUAUGCCUUCUGUUUUGAUCCAAGUGUCGAUCUAAUAGGCUGCUGCUGCUGAGCAACAGCAAUUAGGUUUUAGUGAUGCUUGGGAGACUUGCAUUCAUUUUACUUCUCAGGACACCACAGUUAAUUCAGGACUGAGAUUUAUGUUUUUAAAUGUGUGAAACAAAGCUAGAUUCUCCA
ensembl:lncRNA